rnacentral:rRNA from 1 species
UACGUAGGUGACCAGCGUUGUCCGGAUUUACUGGGCGUAAAGAGCGCGCAGGCGGUCGUUCAAGUCGAGUGUGAAAGCCCCCGGCUCAACUGGGGAGGGUCACUUGAUACUGAUCGACUCGAAGGCAGGAGAGGGAAGCGGAAUUCCCGGUGUAGUGGUGAAAUGCGUAGAUAUCGGGAGGAACACCAGUGGCGAAGGCGGCUUCCUGGUCUGUUCUUGACGCUGAGGCGCGAAAGCUAGGGGAGCAAACGGG